rnacentral:tRNA from 1 species
GCGUGGCUCAAGGGUAGAGCAUCUGUCUACUGUGAACAAGGCCCUGGGUUCAAUUCCCAGCCCA